GUCGAGCGAGAAAGUUUCUUCGGAAGCGAGUAAAGCGGCGGACGGGUGAGUAACGCGUAGGAAUCUACCAUUCAGUGGGGGAUAGCUCGGGGAAACCCGAAUUAAUACCGCAUAUACCCUAAGGGGGAAAGAGGGCCUAUCCUUGGAAGCUCUUGCUGUUUGAUGAGCCUGCGUGAGAUUAGUUUGUUGGUGAGGUAAUGGCUCACCAAGACUACGAUCUCUAGCUGGUCUGAGAGGACGAUCAGCCACACUGGGACUGAGACACGGCCCAGACUCCUACGGGAGGCAGCAGUGGGGAAUAUUGGACAAUGGGGGCAACCCUGAUCCAGGCAUGCCGCGUGUGUGAAGAAGGCCUUCGGGUUGUAAAGCACUUUAGGUAAGGAAGAAAAGUUAUUGGUUAAUACCCAAUAACCAUGACAUUACUUACAGAAUAAGGACCGGCUAACUCCGUGCCAGCAGCCGCGGUAAUACGGAGGGUCCAAGCGUUAAUCGGAAUUACUGGGCGUAAAGCGCGCGUAGGCGGUUUGACAAGUUGGGUGUGAAAUCCCCGGGCUUAACCUGGGAACUGCAUUCAAAACUUUUAAACUGGAGUACGGGAGGGGAGAGUAGAAUUCAUGGUGUAGCGGUGAAAUGCGUAGAUAUCAUGAGGAAUACCAAUGGCGAAGGCAACUCUCUGGACCGUAACUGACGCUGAGGUGCGAAAGCGUGGGUAGCAAACAGGAUUA
rnacentral:rRNA from 1 species